AGGACGAACGCUGGCGGCGUGCUUAACACAUGCAAGUUGAACGGGACGGAUAUUGAAGCGACUUUCGGAGUGGUGGAUAUAUUGUUUAGUAGCGGACGGGUGAGUAAUGCAUGAGAACCUGCCCUCAGAGGGGGACAACAGUUGGAAACGGCUGCUAAUACCCCAUAUGCCGAGAGGUGAAAGGAGCGAUCCGCUGAAGGAGUGGCUCAUGUCCUAUCAGCUAGUUGGUGAGGUAAGUGCUCACCAAGGCGAUGACGGGUAGCCGGCCUGAGAGGGCGACCGGCCACACUGGAACUGAGAUACGGUCCAGACUCCUACGGGAGGCAGCAGUGGGGAAUAUUGGGCAAUGGGCGGAAGCCCUGACCCAGCGACGCCGCGUGAGGGAAGAAGGCCUUUGGGUCGUAAACCUCUGUUGUAUGGGAAGAAGGAAGUGACGGUACCAUACGAGGAAGUCCCGGCUAACUACGUGCCAGCAGCCGC
rnacentral:rRNA from 1 species